rnacentral:rRNA from 1 species
AACGUCCGGAAACGGGCGCUAAUACCGCAUACGUCCUGAGGGAGAAAGUGGGGGAUCUUCGGACCUCACGCUAUCAGAUGAGCCUAGGUCGGAUUAGCUAGUUGGUGGGGUAAAGGCCUACCAAGGCGACGAUCCGUAACUGGUCUGAGAGGAUGAUCAGUCACACUGGAACUGAGACACGGUCCAGACUCCUACGGGAGGCAGCAGUGGGGAAUAUUGGACAAUGGGCGAAAGCCUGAUCCAGCCAUGCCGCGUGUGUGAAGAAGGUCUUCGGAUUGUAAAGCACUUUAAGUUGGGAGGAAGGGCAGUAAGUUAAUACCUUGCUGUUUUGACGUUACCAACAGAAUAAGCGCCGGCUAACUUCGUGCCAACAUCCGCGGUAAUACAAAGGGUGCAAGCGUUAAUCGGAAUUACUGGGCGUAAACCGCGCGCACGUGGUUCAGCGCGUUCCCUGUGAAAUCCCCUGGCUCUACCUGGGAGCUGCGUCCCUCACUACUGAGCUAAAUUACCGUGUAAGGUGGCGCCACAAAUAUCUGAGGGAUCCCAACGG